rnacentral:rRNA from 1 species
UCAAUCUCGUGCGGCUAGAAGCCGCCUGUCCCUCUAAGAAGAUUGCUACGCUGCUAGCAUAAAGAUAGCAGCGCCUAUUUAGCAGGCUAGAGUCUCGUUCGUUAU